rnacentral:rRNA from 1 species
AGAGUUUGAUCAUGGCUCAGAUUGAACGCUGGCGGUAGGCUUAACACAUGCAAGUCGUGCGAGAAAGUAUCUUCGGAUAUGAGUAGAGCGGCGGACGGGUGAGUAACGCGUAGGAAUCUACCUAGUAGAAGGGGAUAGCCCGGGGAAACUCGGAUUAAUACCGUAUACCUCCUUUGGGAGAAAGAAGGCCUCUCUUUGAAGCUUUCGCUACUAGAUGAGCCUGCGUAAGAUUAGCUUGUUGGUGAGGUAAAGGCUCACCAAGGCAACGAUCUUUAGCGGGUCUGAGAGGACGAUCCGCCACAUUGGGACUGAGACACGGCCCAGACUCCUACGGGAGGCAGCAGUGGGGAAUAUUGGACAAUGGGCGCAAGCCUGAUCCAGCCAUACCGCGUGUGUGUAGAAGGCCCUAGGGUUGUAAAGCACUUUAAGUUGGGAAGAAAAGUUAUUGGUUAAUACCCAAUAACCGUGACAUUACCUUCAGAAUAAGGACCGGCUAAUUCCGUGCCAGCAGCCGCGGUAAUACGGAAGGUCCAAGCGUUAAUCGGAAUUACUGGGCGUAAAGCGCGCGUAGGUGGUUUAUUAAGUUGGAUGUGAAAUCCCCGGGCUCAACCUGGGAACUGCAUCCAAAACUGAUUCACUAGAGUACGAUAGAGGGAGGUAGAAUUCACAGUGUAGCGGUGGAAUGCGUAGAUAUUGUGAAGAAUACCAAUGGCGAAGGCAGCCUCCUGGAUCUGUACUGACACUA